UAAAACGUUCUCGUUAUGACAUUUAUUUCUAAAUUAAGAGACUAGAAACUAAGUCUGGUGGCUGAUCAAUCGUGGCCGUUAGACCAGAGAGUGAUUAACAGUAGCCUCCACGGCCUUCGGGUUGUGGUGCCGUUGAUGAUCGUUUUUAGCUCAUAUCAUGGUGUUGAGAUGGUCUAAUGGUUGUCUAACAAAUU
rnacentral:snoRNA from 1 species